UACGUAGGCAGCGAGCGUUGUUCGGAGUUAUUGGGCGUAAAGGGCGCGUAGGCGGCCUGGCAAGUGGAUGGUGAAAUCCCUCGGCUUAACCGAGGAACUGCCAUCCAGACUGCUUGGCUUGAGACCGGGAGAGGUGAGUGGAAUUCCCAGUGUAGCGGUGAAAUGCGUAGAUAUUGGGAGGAACACCAGUGGCGAAGGCGGCUCACUGGACCGGUACUGACGCUGAGGCGCGAAAGCGUGGGGAGCAAACGGG
rnacentral:rRNA from 1 species